AAUUAAUUGCAACGUUUUAAGUUUGAAAGGGGAAAUACCUAAAACGCAACGGCUAUUUGGUAGCUAAAUGUUCAGGUAAAGGGACGCUUUAUAUGAUUUAAAAUUAAUGUUGAAGUUAGCGAAGGAUUCGCUUUUUUAAAAUAUGUUGUUAUAUUUUAUAUGUAAAAUUGAAAGUACAAAUUCGUACUGAGAAAAUAUUUCGCUGGCAUAUAUAAAUAUAUUUAAUAGCUUUAUGAAUCAUGUUAUUAAUAUUUUGGGCUUCCUUGUUCCUUCUUACAAGCAUAUGUUCCGUGUAACGAUCACUGAAUGGAGUACGUAUUAAACAGAAGCGUUUUGUGAUUCUUGGAAAUCAAAUCAUGCUCGAAAUCAUGCACAUAAAGUAAUAUAAUAGUAAAGCAAAGACUGCUGAAGAGGUAUGAAAUGGCUUUAUUUUUUAAUAUGUAGUUUACUUUUAUCAUAAAGUGUUACUUGAGUAAAAGAACGACAUAGGGCACAUUGCAGCUUAAUAGAUUGACAAGCAAUAUGCUGGCAGAUAGUCCAGUCAAGAACCUUCAGUAAAUUGUCUGGCGAUCAGAAAGGGUGAGCUAUUAAUAAUAAGGGUGUGUAUGCAUUGGUAAAUACACAUUAUAUACCAAAUUAAUCUUCAUUACAUUGGGGGAAAUUGAUAGAACAGAAAACAAUAGUGAAAUUAAUACUGAAUUUUGUUUUCAUUUGAAAGAAUUUUUAGGGCCACAUUUAUGGAGAAUUAUGAUUCUGGGAACUAUAGAUUCAUAAAUUAAG